rnacentral:misc_RNA from 1 species
UUUAACAGCAACAUCCUGACCAAGGUAAACUCCAUGAUACAGAUCUCCACAAGAUCCAGAUGCAAUUCUUUCCCCUAUCUUCAACAAUCGUCGAUCUAUUUCCCAAUCUCCAGAUUUUGCUUGAGCUGCUGAAGUUUUACCCGCAGCUGAAUGAGAAUGUGAGAACCAGACCAAGACCCCUCACUUCUAGCAAUUGCUUUUUCCAUAGCCUUAUACAAACAAUCUGUAUCCUCAUUAGGCCAUCCAUCCACCACAAAUACAUCCAAG